GACGAACGCUGGCGGCGUGCUUAACACAUGCAAGUCGAACGGAAAGGCCCUGCUUUUGUGGGGUGCUCGAGUGGCGAACGGGGGAGUAACACGUGAGCAACCUGCCCUUGUUUUUGGGAUAAGUUCAGGAAACUGGGGCUAAUACCGUAUAGGAGCCGCUGCAGCAUGGUGGGGGGUGGAAAUUUUCGGCUGGUGGGGAUGGAUGCGCGGCUGUCCAGCUUGUUGGUGGGGGAGUGGCUGACCAAGGCUUUGACGGGUAACCGGCCUGGGAGGGUGACCGGCCACCUUGGGCCUGCGAGACGGACCAGACUCCUACGGGAGGCAACAGGGGGAAAUAUUGCCCAAUGGGCGCACGCCUGUUGCAGCAGCGCCGCGUGCGUGAAGACGGCCUUCGGGUUGUGAACAGCUUUAGCCUGAGACGCAGCGUGAGUGACGGUAAUGGGUAAAUAAGCACCGGCUAACUACGUG
rnacentral:rRNA from 1 species